UACGAAGGGGGCUAGCGUUGCUCGGAAUUACUGGGCGUAAAGGGCGCGUAGGCGGAUAUUUAAGUUAGAGGUGAAAGCCCAGGGCUCAACCCUGGAACAGCCUUUAAUACUGGAUAUCUUGAGUUCGGGAGAGGUGAGUGGAACUCCGAGCGUAGAGGUGAAAUUCGUAGAUAUUCGGAAGAACACCAGUGGCGAAGGCGGCCCGCUGGGCAACUGCUGACACUGAUGCGCGACAGCGUGGGGAGCAAACAGG
rnacentral:rRNA from 1 species